AGGAGAGUUGCCCAGCGCUGCUAUGACUGAGAGGGAGAGAGAACAGAGGCACACUGCUGAUGAAAAUUGUUCCAUUUGUUAAAGAAGAAAAAAGAGGAAAAAACAUCUUGGAGUGCUUUCUCUGUCAGGGGAAAUGAAGCAAGCCAGAUGGGCUAGGCAAAGAAAGGAGAAAGAUUUUGAGUGGUGAAACUCAUCAAGUACAAGUCCACAACUCCUCCUCCAACAUCCUCGAAGACAGAAGUGUUUCAGCAUCCCAAAUGGUCUGGGGAUUUUCAAAACACAUCUCUUCGCCACGCACUUGCCAAAGCCAGAGGGAAGGAGGCUGGGAAGACAGCUCUUGUUGCCCUGCACUUCUCUGAUCAGCAGCCCAGCAGCACUGCCCCUGAGUUAAGAUACCAUCAUCAUUCAAGUGUGGUUGAGUGAGCAGGUUUGAAAAGGAAUGAUGGACAGCACCAGCUUGCCACCUUCUGUCUCCAUGCUAAUUGCCUUCAGGAUCCUGCCUCUUAUGUCUAGAUGUAAUUUUCUUCUUCCUGCUGUGCACAAACAUCAUCACCUUUUAAGUUCCUGUCCCUAGACUCAGGAGAUUAUGAAGAGAGUGUAAGAGAGUUGCCCAUGCUCCUUCUAGUCAAGCCUUUUGUUCAGAAUAACUCUUCUCAUUUCAUCUGACUAAUGGUGGAGUUAUUGUUUUCACACAUCCUACACAUCUCCAUCCCUGCGUCCCUAAUUUCCUUCUAGAUAGUCCUCCUAAGAUAAUGCUCUCUCACUUCAAAUUACAGAUGAGCUCAUAAUAGUCUCCUUAAAAUUGGCUUCCCUCCAGUCCUCU
rnacentral:lncRNA from 1 species